rnacentral:rRNA from 1 species
CGGGCUUGAAUUGCAGAGGAAGGAUUUAGAGAUAAUGACGCCCUUCGGGGCCUCUGUGAAGGUGCUGCAUGGUUGUCGUCAGCUCGUGCCGUGAGGUGUCGGCUUAAGUGCCAUAACGAGCGCAACCCCUCUCUUCAGUUGCCAUCAGGUUAAGCUGGGCACUCUAACUAGACUGCCAGGGAUAACCUGGAGGAAGGCGGGGAUGACGUCAAAUCAUCAUGCCCCUUAUGACUUGGGCUACACACGUGUUACAAUGGCGCAUACAGAGAGACGGUGGCAUGCGAGUGCCAUCCAAUCCUUAAAGUGCGUCUCAGUUCGGACUGGGGUCUGCAACCCGACCCCACGAAGCUGGAUUCGCUAGUAAUCGCGCAUCAGCCAUGGCGCGGUGAAUACGUUCCCGGGCC